CAUGGAUAUAGCCAAUGUUCAUGUUCUGAGGAGGACAAGAACUGAAGUCAAGAAAGCUGGGGUGGAGAGAAGUUUUGAGCAGUGGGCAAAAUCCAACGACUUUGUGGAUUCCUACUCUGUUGGCCUGAGGAUGCCGGCUGUGGUGGCUGGGGCGCUUCCAGCUCCAGUGGGCUCUCUUCUGAGUUUAUCAACUGCUCAAGAUGAAUCCAACGUCCUGCGUGAAACUGGUCCCAAGUGGGAUGAGCUGGGAAGGCUCACAUGGUGCUGUGUCUACCCCAGGAGGAGCAGAGGCUAGAGCUGAGCUGGAAGGAGGACCUUGUGGUAGAAACUGGCAUUUUUCUGAGCAGUUCCUUUAGAUUCCCCCCCCCCCCCAGUUAUAACUUCAGCCUGAGAGAGAGGGGACAUGACAACUUGCUCCUUGGACCAAAGUCUUUAAUCAUGGCAUUCAAAGUUCAUGCAGGGAACACUGUUGAGCACCUACCUAAUGUGCCAGGCACUAUACAGGAAGGAGUGAUCUUAAGAAGUUUCCAGGCUGAGGCAGAGGUGGAGAAGAGACAUUAUACAGUCAAUUAUAUUCUAUGUGGUAAAUGCCACCCACUGAUCUUUCUCCAGUGGACGAGGGUGUAUGAAAGAAAAAGCAAGUAACUGUGGAAUGUGUGUUCAUCAGUGACGGGAUGUGUGAGAGUGCAUGUGAACGUGUAGUCUUUGGGUGUGU